CCUACGGGAGGCAGCAGUGGGGAAUAUUGCACAAUGGAGGAAAGCCUGAUCCAGCGAUGCCGCGUGAAGGAAGAAGUAUUUAGGUAUGUAAAGCUCUAUCAGCAGGGAGGAAAAUGACGGUACGUGAUUCAGACGCCCAGGCUAACUACGUGCCAGAAGCCGCGGUAAUACGUAGGGAGCAAGCGUUAUCCGGAUUUACUGGGUGUAAAGGGGGCGUAGACGGCAGUAAAAGUCUGGAGUGAAAUGCCGGGGCUUAACCCCGGAACUGCUUUGGAAACUGUGCAGCUAGAGUGCAGGAGAGGUAGGUGGAAUUCCCAGUGUAGCGGUGAAAUGCGUAGAUAUUAGGAGGAACACCAGUGGCGAAGGCGGCUUACUGGACUGUAACUGACGUUGAGGCUCGAAAGCGUGGGGAGCAAACAGGAUUAGAUACCCUAGUAGUC
rnacentral:rRNA from 1 species